CUUGGAUAACCGUGGUAAUUCUAGAGCUAAUACAUGCUAAAAACCCCGACUUCGGGAGGGGUGUAUUUAUUAGAUAAAAAACCAAUGCCCUUCGGGGCUCUUUGGUGAUUCAUGAUAACUUAACGGAUCGCAUGGCCUUGCGCCGGCGACGGUUCAUUCAAAUUUCUGCCCUAUCAACUUUCGAUGGUAAGGUAUUGGCUUACCAUGGUUUCAACGGGUAACGGGAGAUUAGGGUUUGACUCCGGAGAGGGAGCCUGAGAAACGGCUACCACAUCCAAGGAAGGCAGCAGGCGCGCAAAUUACCCAAUCCCGACACGGGGAGGUAGUGACAAUAAAUACUGAUACAGGGCUCUUUUGGGUCUUGUAAUCGGAAUGAGUACAAUUUAAACCCCUUAACGAGGAACAAUUGGAGGGCAAGUCUGGUGCCAGCAGCCGCGGUAAUUCCAGCUCCAAUAGCGUAUAUUAAAGUUGUUGCAGUUAAAAAGCUCGUAGUUGAACCUUGGGCCUGGCUGGCCGGUCCGCCUCACCGCGUGUACUGGUCCGGCCGGGCCUUUCCUUCUGGAGAGCCGCAUGCCCUUCACUGGGUGUGUCGGGGAACCAGGACUUUUACUUUGAAAAAAUUAGAGUGUUCAAAGCAGGCCUUUGCUCGAAUACGUUAGCAUGGAAUAAUAGAAUAGGACGUGCGGUCCUAUUUUGUUGGUUUCUAGGACCGCCGUAAUGAUUAAUAGGGAUAGUCGGGGGCAUCAGUAUUCAAUUGUCAGAGGUGAAAUUCUUGGAUUUAUUGAAGACUAACUACUGCGAAAGCAUUUGCCAAGGAUGUUUUCAUUAAUCAGUGAACGAAAGUUAGGGGAUCGAAGACGAUCAGAUACCGUCGUAGUCUUAACCGUAAACUAUGCCGACUAGGGAUCGGGCGAUGUUUCUAUCUUGACUCGCUC
rnacentral:rRNA from 1 species